UUGGUUGGCCACCAUUUUUUCCCAGAUCAGGUAACUUUUUUAUGGAAAAUGGGAGGCACCCAUCUUCACCAAGAGGAGAGAGAAACUGAGUAAUUCAAAAUUAUGAAUUUCUUCCGAAAAAUUUCUUCACAAUCCCAGUUUUUCAAAGUUACGCAGAGAUCCCUUAAAUCCUUGAUUUUUCCUGGGGAGUCCCUAGAUCCUCCUCUCGUCCACGGCAUCCAUGUCUUCCAUUGCCCAGAUGCAGUUGGUAUAGUGGCAAAGUUAUCAGAGUGUCUAGCUUCAAGAGGUGGAAACAUAUUAGGAGCUGAUGUGUUUGUACCAGAAAAGAAGCAUGUCUUUUAUUCAAGAAGUGAAUUUGUUUUUGAUCCUUCUAAAUGGCCAAGGGAGCAAAUGGAUGAAGACUUCCUCGAAAUCGCUAAAAUGUUCAAUGCAAUGAAAUCAGUUGUUCGUGUGCCUGAUUUGGAUCCGAAAUACAAAAUUGCAGUUUUUGCUUCGAAACAGGAUCACUGUCUUGUUGACUUGCUACAUGCAUGGCAGGAUGGAAAACUGCCUGUAGAUAUAACUAGAGUGAUAAGUAAUCACGAUAGACAUCCAGAUUCCCAUGUGAUGCGUUUCCUUGAAAGGCAGCAAGUUCCUUACCAUUUUCUGAAGGAAAUCGCUGGAAACGAAAGAGAGGAGGAGAUCCUGGAUUUGGUCCAGGACACAGAUUUUCUCGUUCUUGCUCGGUACAUGCAGAUAUUGUCAGCAGAUUUUUUGAAACGGUAUGGAAAAGAUGUCAUUAACAUCCACCAUGGUCUCUUGCCAUCAUUCAAGGGUGGGAAUCCUUCAAGACAGGCGUUUGAUUGUGGAGUAAAAUUGAUUGGUGCCACAACUCACUUUGUAACAGAAGAACUCGACGCAGGACCCAUUAUUGAACAAAUGGUUGAGAGAGUUUCGCACAGAGAUAAUUUGCGGAGUUUUGUACAAAAAUCAGAGAACCUUGAGAAACAGUGCCUCUCAAAGGCAAUAAAGCAUUACUGUGAGCUACGUGUUCUACCGUAUCUGGAUAACAAGACCGUUGUGUUUUGAGGAAAAAUGGUUGAGACUCAUCAAAUAUUAAUGGUCAAAAUUGUGGCAAAGAGGUGAGAUAUACCUUUCUUCGCGUGCUGCAUUAGUUCACCAACGCAGGGGAAUUUCGGCUCUUCGGCUUCACUGUGUUGCAGCGGCUGCAGUCAGAGUCAUCAGAUCACCAGGGCUCUUAAUAUCAACAGCUGAUCUGACAGCUAACGCAACACGAUCAUGAUCAGCGCCCGCUUGCUCAGCAAUCUCGAUGCAGUGAGACGCUAAGAGUUCGGUGGCUGAUGCAACGGCUCUGCUCAUUUUUGAGGAAUUAUCAGGUGCAGAAACUGCGGCAACACCAGCAAGUGCUGCUGCAAGACCUGCAAUUGAAAGAGCAGCAUGCAUAUGUGCAUUCUCUGCUCUUGCCCUGUCCUUUCUCCUAAACGAGUUUAGAUUUGAUUUUGAUUCCUUGUUGUGGUGGAACCACUUCCCUAUUCCCCCCAUUCUCCGGUUCGAACCACUGUUCUUCAAUUUAUCAACCUGAUCAGUUUUAGCCAACAGAAAAUACUCAGAUCAGGAAAUUUUCGCGCUUUCUGACAAUGAAAUAUGAUAUUGAGAAACACUGAUAGAAAGUAGUUUCAGAAUGUAUAGAAACUAGUUUUCAAUUUACCCACCUACUCUGUUUUAGCUUCAAAAAAAUACUAAGAUUCAGGAAAUUUUAGAAAAAAUUGUGACAAUGGAUUCAGACAUUGAGAAACACUGAUAGAAAAUAGUUACAGCAUG